rnacentral:rRNA from 1 species
ACGCUCGACACCUACGGGGGGCAGCAGUAGGGAAUCUUCCACAAUGGGCGCAAGCCUGAUGGAGCAACACCGCGUGAGUGAAGAAGGGUUUCGGCUCGUAAAGCUCUGUUGUUGGAGAAGAACGUGCGUGAGAGUAACUGUUCACGCAGUGACGGUAUCCAACCAGAAAGUCACGGCUAACUACGUCGCNNCNCGCGAGUACUGAGNGGCGNGNGAGACG